UACGAAGGGGGGCUAGCGUUGCUCGGAAUCACUGGGCGUAAAGGGUGCGUAGGCGGGUCUUUUAAGUCAGGGGUGAAAUCCUGGAGCUCAACUCCAGAACUGCCUUUGAUACUGAGGAUCUUGAGUUCGGGAGAGGUGAGUGGAGCUGCGAGUGUAGAGGUGAAAUUCGUAGAUAUUCGCAAGAACACCAGUGGCGAAGGCGGCUCACUGGCCCGGUACUGACGCUGAGGUGCGAAAGCGUGGGGAGCAAACAGG
rnacentral:rRNA from 1 species